GCCAAUACUUUUAGCCAGCACUGUAUAUACAUCACAUAUGGUCUAUGAUUAAAAUAUUUUCCUUUCUUCUAUUUUUUGUAGGAAACUGAUCCUAAUGGUACUCUCUCCUGUGUGUACUGGAAGAACACUGAAUGGGCUGUAGNUGGGUGUUAUCUUGUCGAGACCAACAGUAGUCACACCGUGUGCUCCUGUGUUCACCUGUCUACCUUCGCUCUCAUCAUGCAGACCAAACCCUCAGCAGAAACAAGUGACCCUCUUCUGGAUCUGCUCAGCACUGUACUGGUAUCAGUGGGGCUGGUGUUCCUCAGCUUGACUCUGUUGACCUUUGCCGUUUGUCGUCGACACCUGAGGAUGAACAACACUCCCAGAAUAAACCUGUGUAUCAGUCUUCUGCUGGCUCACCUGACCUUCCUCCUCACUCAGAAAUUCAUACACUACAUCCAGCCAUUAGAGAUGCUCUGUGCAGUGUUAGCAGGAGUUCUGCACUUCCUCUUCCUCUCUGCUUUUGUGUGGAUGUUGAUUGAAGCCGUG
rnacentral:lncRNA from 1 species